GCCGUUACAAGUGAGUUGUGCUUGAAUCAUGGGGAAGAGGAAGUCCAGAGCGAAGCCAGCUCCCAAGAAGCGCAUGGACAAACUUGAUACUGUCUUUUGUUGCCCUUUCUGCAACCAUGGGAGCAGUGUUGAGUGUCGCAUUGACAUGAAGAAUCUGAUUGGCGAGGCGGUGUGCAGGAUUUGUCAAGAAAACUUCAGCAUGACAGUCACAGCCCUAACAGAGCCGAUCGACAUAUACAGUGAAUGGAUCGAUGAAUGCGAGAAGGUGAACACUGUCGAAGAUGAUGAGGACUAGGCUUCGGUUCAGUUUCAAUGUGUUAGACUUCUGUGUAUCUUUGACUAGUUGGACCUGUGUGGAUGUGU
rnacentral:misc_RNA from 1 species